rnacentral:rRNA from 1 species
CUGAUUAGCUAGUUGGUGGGGUAACGGGCGUCUACCAAGGCGACGAUCAGUAGCCGGUCUGAGAGGAUGAACGGCCACAUUGGGACUGAGACACGGCCCAGACUCCUACGGGAGGCAGCAGUGGGGAAGUCUUCCGCAAUGGGCGAAAGCCUGACGGAGCAACGCCGCGUGAGUGAAGAAGGUCUUCGGAUCGUAAAGCUCUGUUGAGAGGGGACGAGAGAUUACUUCAGGAAAUGGGAGUAAGAGGACGGUACCUUUCGAGGAAGCCACGGCUAACUACGUGCC